UUAAGGAAAAUUAAAGAUCUUUCGCCCCCCCCUUUCCGGAAUUUUUUUUGGCGCAUGGUGUUAUAAAUGUGACGAUAAAGAAUUUCAACUUGAUUUUAAAUUAGACAUUAUUUGUGUUUAUUUAAAAUCUUUACUUCAGGCCAAUAUAUAUCGAUUUGAGUCCAUCACGGUACCAUGUCGAGCGUAUUUUGUAUUUGUUUGUCACAUUCUCAGCUAGUGUCGAAACACGCGCCAAGUCUAAAAGUCUCCGUAUCUAUCAGCAUGCAUGCAAUGUAAAAAAAGUUUUCUUGUGAACAUCAUAACCAACUUUGAAGAGAACAUGAUGGAAAGCGAAUAUUUUCCUCACUAUGACUGGUAUGUGUGAUGCGCUAUUUUCGUCGAGACAUUUUAUCGAAAAAUUCGGCUGACCCCAGAAUAUGCCGUUGUUUAAAUGGCUUUUUAAGUGGUCUGUUUAUUAAUAUACAUAAAAUGUUUUACGAGAUAGAUCUAAUAGCCCUGCAUGAUUCCAUCCCGGGCAACAUUUUUUUGAACGUAUUCCUCUUUGUGACAAUCCAUAAAUAAUCCUCGACGAAAUGGUGUAUUUUCGAAAGUAAUUGCACAUAAAAUAUCCCACUCUUCCGAUGCGGAUUUCAUAGAAACUAAUCUACAGCCGAAUAAAUCCUUGUCGUUCCAUAAAGAACUGGAAUUGUGGCAAGAUGAGCCUUUCUGGUAUUGCUGUAUUACUGGUCCUCCGAUAAACUCUGUAGAAGAGAUCGAGAGCAUCACAGCAGCUAGAUGGUUUUCUUUGUGGAUGACUCCUUUGAUGCAGCAUUAAUAAGAAUUCAUUUUUUUCAAAUGUUCACGUAAUAGAUCGUAUAAAAACUAUAGGAACUGAUUAAAAAGGGAUAAAUUUUUGGCGUUAUCUCUGAAAGUAAACACCUGGAGACGAUUCAACAUCUUUUUUAUAUCUGUAGCAAUGAUUCGUCUUACAGUAUGGCGAUUCACGCAUGUAAUUCUGUGAAGUUUAUAAUCAUCUGUCAUGUUGUAAAUUUUGAAUUUUCCGGGUGGCAGUAAAUACAAAAUUUACAACAUGACACAUCUCGCAAAUUUUUAAUUCUAACAGUUUACUAAAAAGAAUAAAUCAAGGUCUGCAACAUUAUCUAAUGCCGAAAUGUAGAUUGAUUAUAUACAAUAACUAAACGCAUAAUUAAUAAAGAUUAGAUAUGAUCGAGUUUUUUUGGACAUCGAUGUCGGAACUGAGACGCUGAUAUUUUGUUUCUCUUUGAAAUGCCUUGCCUCCCUACAGUGAGAUGACCGAUACAAAAUCUUAAACGUGAACUCCAACAUACUAUCCCAUGGCGUGCGUGUAAAGCUCUUGUAAACCGUACCGUACCAUUGGCCCUGUCAAAUCGAUCAUGGAGGAAGGGUGAAAUUCACUUACAGUACUCCAAAAGAUGGGAAUAAAGAUUUCUUUAACGUCGAUAAUUCCUCAAACAAAGUUGACGAUAUAAAUAGAAAACCGUCUAAUUCUGACGAUUUUAAGUUUUCAAACAUUCCAGCGAUCCUGUGUUUGUGUGUUUGGAGCCACAUCGCUUGCUGCAUGAUUGCAAACCUCGGUCUAUUAAAAAGAGGUCGCCCGAUGGAUCACUUAAUGCUAAAAGGGGGAGUGCAGAAACUGUUAAUGGGCUAGUAUUCACAGGGUCUUCAGAGUCACGUUCGAUUUGCUGUACUUGUUGGAUAUUGCUGGUCAGGUGACGUCCAACAAGCGCUUUGUUCGCCGUUGUGUAACUCGGCAGGGUGAGAACUCAGGCGCUGGUUGGCGUGGUCGGACGAUGAAUUGGCAUCGCAAUUAAUUAGAGGGAAACGCGCUGAAUCGAUUAGAGAGAUAAUUGCUGAUAGACCGUACGCAGAUCUUCCCACAGGUUAAUAGGAAACGGAAGGCUGCUCUUUUACGCCAGACCAAAUCUCGAACGAAUUUCCUUAAGAUGAGGAAAUCGAAUCCAUAUUUACCAUAGAAAAAGCCAACAAGUGGCCACAGCAUGUUAGCGCUGAAUGCGAGCGAGAGUGGCUUAGCGGAGCCAUGUACCGUUACUGUGACCUCAUCCGAGUCUAGCACGGUAGCAGAGGACUUUCAAAAAACCGACAAAGAGGCUCUGUUUUAUAUAAUAACUGUGCUGAUGUUUUACGCUGUAAGCAUUGUCACCCUAAUGGUCAAAUAUUUACGGCAAGAGAAACAAGAAGCGGAGUACACCAAUUACUAUUAUGAGUAUGUGUCACGUGACAAGUUCCAGGACCCUCUCUACCAAAAUUCCCUGAACGUGCAGCGAACGCUGAGCGCCGUGCGCGACAGUUAUAACAAAGUCGUUCCAACAGACUGCAUACCUCACACAAAGCAAGCUUUCUCGGAGACCAGCGUCUAGCUAUAUAGUUAUAUCAAAACCGAACUCCUGGAAAACUUUUGCACCGUUGGGAGUAGGUAGUUCGAUCUGUCCUGAAGUUCUUCUUUCUUUAUGAUGAGAUUUUAUACCACACUGUUUACAUCUGUCACAGAAACUUAGACUAAAUAAAACAUUCAGUGUU